GACGAACGCUGGCGGCGUGCUUAACACAUGCAAGUCGAACGGAAAGGCCCUGCUUUUGUGGGGUGCUCGAGUGGCGAACGGAUGAGUAACGCGUGAGUAACCUGCCCUUGACUUUGGGAUAACUUCAGGAAACUGGGGCUAAUACCGGAUAGGAGCUCCUGCUGCAUGGUGGGGGUUGGAAAGUUUCGGCGGUUGGGGAUGGACUCGCGGCUUAUCAGCGUGUUGGUGGGGUAGUGGCUUACCAAGGCUUUGACGGGUAGCCGGCCUGAGAGGGUGACCGGCCACAUUGGGACUGAGAUACGGCCCAGACUCCUACGGGAGGCAGCAGUGGGGAAUAUUGCACAAUGGGCGGAAGCCUGAUGCAGUGACGCCGCGUGCGGGAUGACGGCCUUCGGGUUGUAAACCGCUUUCGCCUGUGACGAAGCGUGAGUGACGGUAAUGGGUAAAGAAGCACCGGCUAACUACGUG
rnacentral:rRNA from 1 species